CCCCCUCCGAGAACCCUGGGAUGGCGGUUACGCGGCCUGCACCCUGCGGGGCACAGAAGUUCGGCUAACCUGAAGGGACCCCGAGGCUGGCGGCGGGGGACCCGCGUGUCUGGGAGGGUCCAGAGCAGGAAGAGCUCACAUUCUGCUUUGGCCUCAGGGCUCAGGCCUGGACUGAUGGCAGCGGGACAGAUGUGAGCUAGACGUCAGGAGGGACUUCCCGACA